UAGAGAGUGGUCUAGUGGUUAGAGAGUCGGACUCGUAACCCGAAAGUCGUGGGUUUGAGUCUCAGGUCUGGAA